CUUCUAUAAAGAAUGCAGAGAGACAGGUUGUUAUUUUAUGGCUUUUUAAAAAAGCCAUGGUGGCUCUGUAAGAAAACAUUCAAUGUAGCACUGGUCAUUUCUGGAGGGUUUCGAUUCUUUGUGAGAUCUGAUUGGUUCCUUCUUUAAAACGAAAGGAUCGUUUGUAGUCACUGGAAUUGCUCACUGCUCAUCCUUGUCUGACAUUUCAUCUGCUUUGUGUGCUGGCUUUUUAGAGAAUGGGAAGUAAAACAGCUUUUCUGCUUUCUCGAAACCAGUUUUGUGUCAGAGUUGAUAAGUAAUUAAUGAAAACUAAGUGACAUUACCCUUGCUUCCUCUGUUCUUUUCUUUCUGCAGCCCAUGCUUCCUAGUUAUAAAGCACCAAAGACUUUUGAGCUCAACACGGAGAACGGGUGAAAUGUUUAUUUCUUUUUCUUUGGGAAAUCUGCACUUAACAAAAGGCAUCUUCAAAUAAUCCUAAUCCAUUUCAGACCUGUAACCUUUCUUAAGCAUCACAUGGGAGAAGAUUCUUAAGGCUGCUCGGAACAACUGUGCAGUAAAUAAAUCGAAGGAUCUGCACUCCCCGCAGAACAGCACACGUGUGUUAUUCUGCAGCUCUUGAAGGCAAUGGCAGUUUCUGCUGCAUGUGUAAGGGAACAACUUACUUCAUUAUUCAGAUCUCUGGGGAGUUUCUGAAUCUGUAAUCAAGUAAAAUCAGAGGCUAUUGAUCGCUUUGUUGCUGAAUGGUGAUUAUAUAAGCAGGAGGAAAAAAAAAGUGGAGAGCAAGCUUCUGUUGUGUGUAUUUUAGUAAGUCCUUAAGCUAGCAAUUGGUGGCAAGGUAAGUUGUAUUUUUCUUUUCUCUGUUACAGUGCUUUGUGUUUGGAAGUAGUCACUCGGCACCCAUAGUUUGAGGUGAAAUGUCCUUUUAUAUGUCAGGGUGUGUAAAUCUAUGGUAGGGACUUUCUAAGUUCUCCUUUCUGGCAUUGCUGUAACUGCAGGUGCAGAGUUCAGUGCAUAUAGAAAAUAAAUCAAGUUUCACCAUCUUGUUUCCAGCUACGAGCAGCGCUGAGUCUGAUGUACACGUGGGACAUGAGUAUUUAAUCUAGGAGGGAAAGGAAGGAUCAUCACUUUCUCUAGUGCUAGUGAGCAUUUUAUUCUUGUGAAAAUUAGUUGACUUUAUUUAUUUCAUUGGUGGCUUCUAAGUGUCAUGUUGUUAAAUUUUGUUUCACUCUCACAUCUCUCUUUCACUGUUUUCUUCUUAGUGAACUUUCAGUGAGCGCAUUUUGUUUUCUUAUUGCCUUCCAGAUUCUGUUCGCCUCUUCCCUCAGUCAUCCAAAUGUCUGUAAAGUGUCCUAGUGGGGACUCAGUUGUGCACGUGAGAUGGAAAAUGUGUAGUCUUAGUUAGGAAACGUGCUGCUUUGAUGUUAGCUCCAUGUGCUGGAGCAGCCUGUUGCUCCCUACCAGGAGCCUUUUCAUUCGUGAGGGUGGAGACUCAAAUUCUGCACAGAUCUGUAAUCUGGACAAGCUCAAUGAUGUUACAGUGCAUAGAAUUUGAUUUAAAAUGAUGCCACUUGCUUUGAUUUUGAAAUGAUUAAAUUAAUACUUCCAGUAAACCCAGAAGUUUACUUAGGCUUUUGUUGUUGCUGUUUUGGGCUGGUAAUUUGUUCGUGUGUUUUGUUUGUUCAUGGGUUUUUUUUGUAUUUUUUUCUUUAAUUGAGACACCUGGAUUUAUGCAAGUUUUCCUUUAUUAGCUUUUAUGUGUU
ensembl:lncRNA